rnacentral:rRNA from 1 species
AACGAACGCUGGCGGCAUGCCUAACACAUGCAAGUCGAACGAGACCUUCGGGUCUAGUGGCGCACGGGUGCGUAACGCGUGGGAGCCUGCCCUUAGGUUCGGAAUAACUCCCCGCAAGGGGUGCUAAUACCGGAUAAUGUCUUCGGACCAAAGAUUUAUCGCCUUUGGAUGGGCCCGCGUUGGAUUAGCUAGUUGGUAGGGUAAAAGCCUACCAAGGCGACGAUCCAUAGCUGGUCUGAGAGGAUGAUCAGCCACACUGGGACUGAGACACGGCCCAGACUCCUUCGGGUGGCAGCAGUGGGGAAUAGUGGACUGUGGGCGAAAGCCUGAUCCAGCACUGCCGCGUGAGUGAUGAUGGCCUUAGGGUUGUAAUGCUCUUUUACCCGGGAUGAUAAUGACAGUACCGGGAGAAUAAGCUCCGGCUACCUCCGU